rnacentral:pre_miRNA from 1 species
UUUUGUCUGUGUGUGAAUGGUGUUCAGCACCAGGGAAGGUGUGUUUGCCUGUGUGUGGAUGAUAUUUAUCACUAGGGCAGUUGAGUUCUCAC